rnacentral:rRNA from 1 species
UACGAAGGGUGCUAGCGUUGUUCGGAAUUACUGGGCGUAAAGCGUACGUAGGCGGCUUAGUAAGUCGGUUGUGAAAGCCCCAAGCUUAACUUGGGAAUUGCGACCGAAACUGCUUCGCUAGAGUUUGGUGGGGGAUGGUAGAAUUCCUAGUGUAGGGGUGAAAUCCGUAGAUAUUAGGAGGAAUACCAUUGGCGAAGGCGACCAUCUACGCCAAUACUGACGCUGAGGUACGAAAGCGUGGGGAGCAAACAGG